rnacentral:rRNA from 1 species
AGUGAACGCUGGCGGCGUGCUUAACACAUGCAAGUCGAGCGAUAUUUGACAGCGUAUCGUCAGGUAUAGCGGCAGACGGGUGAGUAAUACUUGGGCAAUCUGCCCUUGAGUGGGGACGAACCUGCCGAAAGGACGGGCUAAUACCCCACUAAGACCACAGGGAGUGCAUAUUCCAGGGGUCGAAAGACUCCGCCAAGGGGCGGCUUGAGGAGGAGCCCGAGUCCUANCAUGGUA